AGACAAGCAGUCAUGGGUCCUACCAUAGC
rnacentral:piRNA from 1 species